AAGUCGUCCAGGAUUCACACAUAUGCACUUCACUUCUUCUCCUUCACUUCUUUCACCAAGGGAGACCACCCUAACAAAGUGAGCCAAAUCUGAGGGUAAAAUAAGUAUAUCUGGGUCUGUUGACAUCUGAAGAGCUUCUGGAGCUAGAGAGAAAUCAAUGGGUACGCCUUCAGCUGGUGGAUAUAGAGGAUAGAAGCUGCGCUGGUUUAAGAUAUGGUUCGCAAGAGUUGUCAUCCGUUGCUUGGAUCCCCCUUGUGGAUUUCGUGAAAUUUCCUCUGCACUCAGCUGUUUAAG
rnacentral:misc_RNA from 1 species